rnacentral:rRNA from 1 species
UAUGUGAUCGUCUCUCGCAUAUCAAUAAGCGGAGGAAAAGAAACUAACAAGGAUUCCCCUAGUAACGGCGAGUGAAGCGGGAAGAGCUCAAAUUUGAAAUCUUAAAGGGUUUCCCUUUACGAACUGUAGUUUAAAGAAGUGUUUUCCGUUGAGGUUUUGGUAAAAGUUCUUUAGGAAUAGGACAUCAUAGAGGGUGAGAAUCCCGUAUUUGACCUUUACUUUCAACUUUGUGAUACACUUUCAAAGAGUCGGAUUGUUUGGGAAUGCAGUCCAAAAUGGGUGGUAAAUUUCAUCUAAAGCUAAAUAUUGGCGAGAGACCGAUAGCGAACAAGUACCGUGAGGGAAAGAUGAAAAGAACUUUGAAAAGAGAGUUAAACAGUACGUGAAAUUGUCAAAAGGGAAGCGUUUGACACCAGUGUUGUUUUUCUGAAAAUCAAUUAAAGAACUGUUUAUGCUAGAGUUGUUUAGACUUUAUCAGCUAACUGUUUAGUUUUGAGCUUUUCUUUAAUGCACUUUUCAGUUAACAAGUCAACAUCAAUUUCUUUUGCUGUAAAAAAGCUUGAGGAAGGUGGCUUGAGAUUCGUCUUAAGUGUUUAUAGCCUCUUGCCUAUGCAGUCGGAGAGAUUGAGGUCUGCAGCGUAGAUCCUUCGGGGCUAAAUGCAUUUGUGCUAAGUUAUAACAUUUUAUAGACAACUUGUUGACUAUGAUUUGUCUUGUAGCUUACUCGCUUAUGUUAUUUUACCUACGCUUAGGAUGUUGACACACGCGCGUGCUCG